GGCGAUGCUUAUUAGUUGCAAUUUGCCAGCUCUGGCAUAAGUUUACUCUAGCCAAAGCCAACAGUAGCAAGCACCGCAAACUAAACCAAAUAAAUAAAAUAAUCGCCUUUCCGAGAAGUUGAUAGAAUGGGUAAAAAUAAGGGUGGCGGUGGAGGAGGAGGAAGUGGCGGUGGUGGAGGCGGCGGCAAUGUAAGCAAUAUUUGUGUUAUGCAACUUGCGUACUAAUUAAAAAGGGCGGCGUUGGUGGCGGCGGUGGCUCCGGAAAUAAAAACAAAGGCGGCGAUGGAGGCGGCGGUGACAAAGGUGGAGCCAAGAAAGGACAGGACCAAAAGGCAGCCGCAGGCGGUGGCAAGAAGGGAGGCAAGAAAUAGCAACCAUGGCAACAUCAAAGCGCAUUAAAAAUUACAAAUUUAGAGUUAAGUUGAAAUUAAAAGUGAUAUCAGGGUGUAUAUACGAGUA